rnacentral:misc_RNA from 1 species
UAGCAACAGAGUUACCAGGCGACCGAGCACCUUCUGCGAGUGGAUUACAGGGACGCUUCGGCCGCGCGCGCUUUCAGCUCGCCUCACGGACGCUACUACGUAUUCACCAAAAGACGCGGACGCAGGAUACCCCCUUUCCUGCGCUCAAGCUAGCCUCUCCUCAUAAAGAAGCGAGUGUUUCUCGGCACGCUGUGCCUCGAUAGCUUUGCCCGCAGCAGGUAACCACAGCGCAAGUGACCGAUUCUUCUUUUCGUUGUUUUCCCUCUUCACGUGUGCUUGUGUGUGUGCUUCCGCAUGGAUGUUGACGCCAGCCCUCUUUCCAGCCUGUCCCUCCCCCCUUCUCCCCACCAACACUACCACGACCACCACCGUCUCUCUCCAUCACGCCCUUGUUUUUUUGUGUGUCUUCCUCCAGCUGUCUCUGCCACCUUCAGCGUGUGCAUGCUUUACAUCUUACUUCUUUUCCGACAUUGUGUUUCUACUCUUCUGCCUUUUCGCUUCGUUUGCCCAUUGCUGUAGUUGCUGUUGUGGUUGCUCCUGCCGCUGCCCCCCUACCGCCCCUCCUGUGUAGAGUAGAUGUCUUCGCAGCGCCCAUAGCUUUCUGUCUCUCCACUGUUCUCGCAGCGCCCGUCUGUUAUUCUCUUCACAUCCGUGCCUCACUGCCUGUUGUGUGUGUCUGUACGUGUUCUUGUUCCUGAUCUCUUCACCGUUUCUCCCUUCCUCCCUGCCUCGUUCUCCGCGUAGAGUGUGUAUUUUUAUGUGCACGUGUACGUGUGUUGACAACUGUGUUCCUCAUCGAGUCGCUGCGCUGUGCGACUGCAUCCCCCCUUCUCGCCUUUAUACCCAAGCGCCAUAAGGGAAGGGGAAGGUUUUGCGUGUUGACCACGUCUGCGUAUUCUCUACGCGAUACAAUAUAUAUAUAUAUAGUUUGUAGUUGUUGCUUGUGUUUGCGCGCGCUCGCCGGCACGUGCAAGCGCGUGUGCUGGUAAUUGUGACUUUCUGUUGUUUGAAUUUGUGGGUGCUGUAGGGUUCUUCGACGCACACAGUGGAAAAUCGGUGGAGCAUCGGUAAUCCUCCUCGUUUUCCUUGCCGUUGAAACACAUUCGCAGCAGCAAGUGGCUACACGCGGUGUCCUCCGUCAACGCUGUCUCCAUACCCCCACCCCCUCCUUUCCCUUCCCUUCCUCUCCUCCCCCGACCGUAGGGAACAGAAG